rnacentral:rRNA from 1 species
UGUACCGCAAAAGUCUGAUUGAGCGAUGGAGUGACACAAGAAGGAAUGCGCGCAUGCGAUUGGAAGAGCAUGUCCAAGCAGGUAGGUAGUAUGAUAGGGAAAGCCGUCAUACUGAAAGCCGAGAUGCGAUGGGGAGCCUUUGGAGACAAAGGUGAAGGGGCAGGGACUCAAUUGUCGAGAAAAGCUUCUAGUAAGGACUUAGGCGCCCGUACCAAAACCGACACAGGUAGGCAAGAAGAGAAUUCUAAGGUGCGCGGGAAAACCCUCGUUAA